rnacentral:rRNA from 1 species
UAAUACUGGAUUGUACCAUGCUGUAGGUGGUGUGGUGGAAAGAUUUUUUUCGGUAAGGGAUGAGCUCGCGGCCUAUCAGCUUGUUGGUGGGGUAAUGGCCUACCAAGGCGUCGACGGGUAGCCGGCCUGAGAGGGUGGACGGCCACAUUGGGACUGAGAUACGGCCCAGACUCCUACGGGAGGCAGCAGUGGGGAAUAUUGCACAAUGGGCGCAAGCCUGAUGCAGCGACGCCGCGUGGGGGAUGACGGCCUUCGGGUUGUAAACUCCUUUCAGCCAUGACGAAGCCCUUGUGGGGUGACGGUAGUGGUAGAAGAAGCACCGGCUAACUACGUGCCAGCAGCCGCGGUAAUACGUAGGGUGCGAGCGUUGUCCGGAAUUACUGGGCGUAAAGAGCUCGUAGGUGGUCUGUCGCGUCAUUUGUGAAAGCCCGGGGCUUAACUCCGGGUUGGCAGGUGAUACGGGCAUGACUGGAGUACUGUAGGGGAGACUGGAAUUCCUGGUGUAGCGGUGAAAUGCGCAGAUAUCAGGAGGAACACCGGUGGCGAAGGCGGGUCUCUGGGCAGUAACUGACGCUGAGGAGCGAAAGCAUGGGUAGCGAGACGAGACUUGUGGUGUUAAGUCCAUUGCCGUAAACGGUG